ACAGGUGCUGCAUGGCCGUCGUCAGCUCGUGUCGUGAGAUGUUGGGUUAAGUCCCGUAACGAGCGCAACCCCUAUCCCUAGUUGCUAGCAGUUCGGCUGAGAACUCUAGGGAGACUGCCGGUGACAAACCGGAGGAAGGUGGGGAUGACGUCAGGUCAUCAUGGCCCUUACGGCCAGGGCUACACACGUGCUACAAUGGUGCGCACAGAGGGCUGCAAACCCGCGAGGGGGAGCCAAUCUCACAAAACGCAUCGUAGUCCGGAUCGCAGUCUGCAACUCGACUGCGUGAAGUCGGAAUCGCUAGUAAUCGUGAAUCAGAAUGUCACGGUGAAUACGUUCCCGGGCCUUGUACACACCGCCCGUCACACCAUGGGAGUGGAUUGCA
rnacentral:rRNA from 1 species